ACGCACGCUGGCGGCAUGCCUAACACAUGCCAGUCGUACGUGACCUUCGGGUCUAGUGGCGCACGGGUGCGUAACGCGUGGGAACCUGCCCUUAGGUUCGGAAUAACUCCCCGAAAGGGGUGCUAAUACCGGAUAAUGUCUUCGGACCAAAGAUUUAUCGCCUUUGGAUGGGCCCGCGUUGGAUUAGCUAGUUGGUAGGGUAAAAGCCUACCAAGGCGACGAUCCAUAGCUGGUCUGAGAGGAUGAUCAGCCACACUGGGACUGAGACACGGCCCAGACUCCUACGGGAGGCAGCAGUGGGGAAUAUUGGACAAUGGGCGAAAGCCUGAUCCAGCAAUGCCGCGUGAGUGAUGAAGGCCUUAGGGUUGUAAAGCUCUUUUACCCGGGAUGAUAAUGACAGUACCGGGAGAAUAAGCACCGGCUAACUCCGUG
rnacentral:rRNA from 1 species